rnacentral:lncRNA from 1 species
UUACACCACAAUGGGAGAGUUCAUACAAGAGCGGAGGGCAGACUUAGCUAACCCAUCGGCUAAACCAUUCUCUGAACGAGAAAUGAAACAAAAGGAGAUAGAUGUAAGAGAACUACUCAACACGCGGAUGUUGUGGAGGAUCCCUUGAAGCUCAACAAUAGACGAGUUCGUUGUGAGCAUUAACACUAGACUACGAGAGUCGGAUAAACACCUUAGGUCGCCGAGACCCAUCUGAGAUUUCUGUUUGUUUUGGGCUCGAAACUAAAUAACUUUUCCAAGCCUCUAAGCCCAUGUUUUUCUUGCUUCUAUCCAGGGCCGAGCCUGGUUCGACUGAUCUUCAUAACAACCGUUUUUUUUUUGUCAACGGUAUUCUAUUGAUUAAGCCCAAAUGGGCAUGUUACAAGGCUUGUACGUUACAAAGCUGAGAUCCAAUAAAACAUAAGUACAAAGAGAAACUAAUAAUAACAUAAGGCCCAAGAUGAUCGGUUAGUGAUUGUUGUCCAUCCCGUGCCCGAUGAAGAAGAAGCGCAAGACACGUGCAAGACGGCAAACACAACUGCCGCAGUUCUUCGCCGCCGGGAGUUUUGUAGGUCGAUCCUCCAUCUCCUGUUUCUCCACACCAUAAGAUUCAUGGAUUUCUUUCUGCAAACGCCAAGACCUUGUACCUCUAGCUUUCGCUUCAACCUAUGCUUGUAUUCUGGAAGCUCCAUCCUCCGUAGAUGAUAAUACAGAGAUAGUUCAGUUGAUGAACGAGAGAUCUUUUACCGGACCAUCAUCCAUAAGGAGAUGCAAGCUCUGCUAAACCUCUGUUAAAUCAACCGAUAUCAACCCAACUCCACCGCUUCCUCUCCGCAAAGAAACUUUACUAAAAGAAAUCCGAUUACACGGAAGAGAAAUUGAUCAAAGAUAAUAUAUUUACAUCAAAAAAGAUAAUCUCGAUCCUCUGUGAAAGAUAGAUGUCUGUGAACAGAGGUUAUCGAGAGACAAAUCUC